rnacentral:rRNA from 1 species
AGGACGAACGCUGGCGGCGUGCUUAACACAUGCAAGUCGAGCGAGGAGCUUGCUCCUAGCGGCGAACGGGUGAGUAACACGUGGGCAACCUGCCUCUAGCUCUGGGAUAAGCCCGGGAAACUGGGUCUAAUACCGGAUACGACCAUCGAAGACAUC